GAUCNGGCUUACCAUGCAGUCGAGGGGCAGCAUGGUCUUAGCUUGCUAAGGCCGAUGGCGACCGGCGCACGGGUGAGUAACACGUAUCCAACCUGCCGUCUACUCUUGGACAGCCUUCUGAAAGGAAGAUUAAUACAAGAUGGCAUCAUGAGUCCGCAUGUUCACAUGAUUAAAGGUAUUCCGGUAGACGAUGGGGAUGCGUUCCAUUAGAUAGUAGGCGGGGUAACGGCCCACCUAGUCUUCGAUGGAUAGGGGUUCUGAGAGGAAGGUCCCCCACAUUGGAACUGAGACACGGUCCAAACUCCUACGGGAGGCAGCAGUGAGGAAUAUUGGUCAAUGGGCGAGAGCCUGAACCAGCCAAGUAGCGUGAAGGAUGACUGCCCUAUGGGUUGUAAACUUCUUUUAUAAAGGAAUAAAGUCGGGUAUGNAUACCCGUUUGCAUGUNCUUUAUGAAUAAGGAUCGGCUAACUCCGUGCCAGCAGCCGCGGUAAUACGGAGGAUCCGAGCGUUAUCCGGAUUUAUUGGGUUUAAAGGGAGCGUAGAUGGAUGUUUAAGUCAGUUGUGAAAGUUUGCGGCUCAACCGUAAAAUUGCAGUUGAUACUGGAUAUCUUGAGUGCAGUUGAGGCAGGCGGAAUUCGUGGUGUAGCGGUGAAAUGCUUAGAUAUCACGAAGAACUCCGAUUGCGAAGGCAGCCUGCUAAGCUGCAACUGACAUUGAGGCUCGAAAGUGUGGGUAUCAAACAGGAUUAGAUACCCUGGUAGUCCACACGGUAAACGAUGAAUACUCGCUGUUUGCGAUAUACGGCAAGCGGCCAAGCGAAAGCGUUAAGUAUUCCACCUGGGGAGUACGCCGGCAACGGUGAAACUCAAAGGAAUUGACGGGGGCCCGCACAAGCGGAGGAACAUGUGGUUUAAUUCGAUGAUACGCGAGGAACCUUACCCGGGCUUAAAUUGCAGAUGAAUUACGGUGAAAGCCGUAAGCCCCAAGGCAUCUGUGAAGGUGCUGCAUGGUUGUCGUCAGCUCGUGCCGUGAGGUGUCGGCUUAAGUGCCAUAACGAGCGCAACCCUUGUUGUCAGUUACUAACAGGUUCCGCUGAGGACUCUGACAAGACUGCCAUCGUAAGAUGUGAGGAAGGUGGGGAUGACGUCAAAUCAGCACGGCCCUUACGUCCGGGGCUACACACGUGUUACAAUGGGGGGUACAGAGGGCCGCUACCACGCGAGUGGAUGCCAAUCCCAAAAACCUCUCUCAGUUCGGACUGGAGUCUGCAACCCGACUCCACGAAGCUGGAUUCGCUAGUAAUCGCGCAUCAGCCACGGCGCGGUGAAUACGUUCCCGGGCCUUGUACACACCGCCCGUCAAGCCAUGGGAGCCGGGGGUACCUGAAGUGCGUAACCGCGAGAGCGCCCNGGUAAU
rnacentral:rRNA from 1 species